rnacentral:RNase_P_RNA from 3 species
GAAGCUGACCAGACAGUCGCCGCUUCGUCGUCGUCCUCCUUCGGGGGAGACGGGCGGAGGGGAGGAAAGUCCGGGCUCCAUAGGGCAAGGUGCCAGGUAACGCCUGGGGGGUGUCACAGCCCACGACCAGUGCAACAGAGAGCAAACCGCCGAUGGCCCACGCAAGUGGGAUCAGGUAAGGGUGAAAGGGUGCGGUAAGAGCGCACCGCGCGGCUGGUAACAGUCCGUGGCACGGUAAACUCCACCCGGAGCAAGGCCAAAUAGGGGUUCAUAAGGUACGGCCCGUACUGAACCCGGGUAGGCUGCUUGAGCCAGUGAGCGAUUGCUGGCCUAGAUGAAUGACUGUCCACGACAGAACCCGGCUUAUCGGUCAGUUUCACUC